rnacentral:rRNA from 1 species
UAGGGAAUAUUGGUCAAUGGAUGCAAGUCUGAACCAGCCAUGCCGCGUGCAGGAAGAAGGCCUUCUGGGUUGUAAACUGCUUUUGUCAGGGGAUAAAAUGGGAGUGCGCUCCUAAUUGAAGGUACCUGGCGAAUAAGCCACGGCUAACUACGUGCCAGCAGCCGCGGUAAUACGUAGGUGGCAAGCGUUGUCCGGAUUUAUUGGGUUUAAAGGGUGCGUAGGCGGUCCUAUAAGUCAGUGCUGAAAUAUCCCGGCUUAACCGGGAGGGUGGCAUUGAUACUGCAGGACUUGAGUGAAGUCGAAGUAGGCGGAAUUGACGGUGUAGCGGCGAAAUGCUUAGAUAUCGUCAAGAACACCGAUAGUGAAGACAGCUUACUAGACUUCAACUGACGCUGAGGCACGAAAGUGUGGGGAUCAAA